UACGUAGGGUGCAAGCGUUAAUCGGAAUUACUGGGCGUAAAGCGUGCGCAGGCGGUUUUGUAAGUUUGGCGUGAAAUCCCCGGGCUUAACCUGGGAAUUGCGAUGAAGACUGCAAGGCUAGAAUCUGGCAGAGGGGGGUAGAAUUCCACGUGUAGCAGUGAAAUGCGUAGAGAUGUGGAGGAACACCGAUGGCGAAGGCAGCCCCCUGGGUCAAGAUUGACGCUCAUGCACGAAAGCGUGGGGAGCAAACAGG
rnacentral:rRNA from 1 species